rnacentral:rRNA from 1 species
ACGGAAUAGAUACCCAGGUAGUCCACGCCCUAAACGAUGACAACUGGCUAUAAGGAGUAUCGACCCUCUUUGUGGCGAAAGCUAAACGCGUUAAGUUGUCCGCCUGGGUAGUACGGCCGCAAGGCUAAAACUCAAAGGAAUAGACGGGGACUUGCACAAGCGGUGGAUCAUGCGGCUCAAUUCGAUGACAAACGAAGAACCUCACCAGGGUUUGAAACCCAGACGAUCGCUCUAGGAAACUAGAGCUUCCGCAAGGCGGCUGGGCAGGUGAUGCAUGGUCGUCGUCAGUUCGUGGCUUGAGUUGUUCCCUUCAGUGGGUAACGAACGCAACCCUCGUUGCCUGUUUUAAAACGUCAGGCGAGACUG